UUCUUAUCAAGAAAGACUGAGGGACAGGGCCCUGUGACGUCUUAGCAACCAUGUUGAAAGCUUGGUGCUACCUCCCUCCUGGAGCAACUGCUGCCAGGGAAGAUAAGAC
rnacentral:ncRNA from 1 species